GUGUCAGCAGCCGCGGUAAUACGGAGGGUGCAAGCGUUGUCCGGAUUUAUUGGGCUUAAAGGGUGCGUAGGCGGCUCUUUAAGUCAGUGGUGAAAUCCUACAGCUUAACUGUAGAACAGCCAUUGAUACUGAAGAGCUUGAGUACAGACGAGGUAGGCGGAAUUUAUGGUGUAGCGGUGAAAUGCAUAGAUACCAUAAAGAACUCCUAUUGCGAAGGCAGCUUACUAGGCUGUAACUGACGCUGAGGCACGAAAGCGUGGGGAUCAAACAGGAUUAGAAACCCCUGUAGUCC
rnacentral:rRNA from 1 species